rnacentral:rRNA from 1 species
UACGUAGGGGGCUAGCGUUGUCCGGAUUUAUUGGGCGUAAAGAGCGUGUAGGCGGCCAGGUAGGUCUGCUGUGAAAACUCGAGGCUCAACCUCGAGACGUCGGCGGAAACCAUCUGGCUAGAGUCCGGAAGAGGAGUGUGGAAUUCCCGGUGUAGCGGUGAAAUGCGCAGAUAUCGGGGAAGAACACCCGUGGCGAAGGCGGCACUCUGGGACGGUACUGACGCUGAGACGCGAAAGCGUGGGGAGCGAACAGG